CUAAGGUCAACACGCUGGGUUUGAUUUUCAACAUGCUAGUUCACAAAGUAUUAGUCUGCAAGAAGACUUAUAAUGCACCAUACAGGGAUACAAAAUUCUGAAACUGAGACGGCUAUGCAGUCUUUUGUUUUAAUACGAAGUCCGGGUGUUUAUCAAAGAAUAAGCCAUCAUCACUUGCCAUGUCUUUAGUUUGACGCGACGCACA
rnacentral:lncRNA from 1 species